CGCGAGCUCCCGAGCGCGGCUUCCUUGGCCGGCUGCGCUAUGGGCUGCGGGAACUCCACCGCCACCAGCGCGGGCGCGGGCCGAGGCCCUGCAGGAGCAGCCAAAGAUGUAACAGAAGAAUCCAUAACAGAAGAUGACAAGAGGAGGUAUGUUUGGUGUUGCAGCUGGCUUUAGUUUGAAUGGUUUUGGCCAUACCUCAUGGAUUUAACACACUGUAGCAUAUUCCCAAUAACACAGAUUCCGCCAGGAAAACUAUUGGCACAGAGAAUACAGGUAGGGACAUAUGGUCUGAAAAAUAACUUGCCCAGGAUUCAUCAUCUUUGCUCUUUCCAAGCAAACUUGGUUUUUGUCCUGUGCAUGUGGCGUGUGCUAAUUUUCAUCCUAUGACCUUUGGGUGUGCUCUUCUCCCUAACUGGAUGGCUUCCCUUCAUUGCCUCAGCCUUCCCUGUCCUCCUCCUUCUCUGAUUAACUGCACUCCACCCUCAUUUCUCUCUUGCUGUCUCUGCCCUCAUUUUGUAUCUCUCUAUUAGUGAGAUAUCUUUAUGUGUCCAUAAUGCCUAAUAUCAUACCAUGUUGACCACUCUGAAUUAUUGAUAAAUGUUAACUGUAACAUGUCACUGUAUGAUAUUUAAUACUAUACGAAAUUGUAACAUCCCAAAUUCUUUUCUUCUUUCUCAUUACAAGUAAAAUAUCUAAAAAUUCUACUAACGCAAUACAUCUUUCUUUUUUUUUUAAAAAAUAGCUUCUUUUUAACCUAGGAAACCAAUU
rnacentral:sRNA from 1 species